rnacentral:tRNA from 1 species
UGAGCUCACCAGCGUCAAUUGUGGCUCGAAUAUCGUGGUCUGAAUAAAGCACGGCACCAGUCUACGUGUUUCAC